CGCUGUUUUGGAAGAACAAAUGAGGAUCAGCGAAAUAUAAAAAGAAAAAGCUGAAAAAGCAAAUAACCUACACUCCUAAGAAGACUAGCGCCGUUUUCUCAGAAAACACCAAAGGACCCCUCUUUUCUCGAAGGUCUUCUUCUUCAGAGACUUGAAGAGACCUUCCUUAUAGACCUUAGGAAGAUCACCCUCUCGCCAUCAGCAACCUCCCAGGCACAGCCCGCCGUUACACCCACAACACCCUUAAGCAUCAGCGACAAAAAUAAAAAAUUUCGACCCACGAGCAGCCAUUUCCCAUUCCCUAUUGGUGAUUUCUUCUUGUUUAUUUUCUCAACUGAAAAGAAUCAGUCACACACGAAAGAGAAAGAGACAAACAAACAAGAAGGGAAAAACAAAGGUUUAAAAAAGGGGUUAUUCUAGCUUCAAACUCAGAUUUUAGUCUCUGAAAUUAUAGAAACUAAACAUGUAAAAGUGCUUUUGCUUCUUCAUUUUUGAUUUCGGGUUUGGUUCCGAAAAUCAUGGAAUUUCCCCGAGGUUUGGAGUUGUUGUUUGGGGUUCGUUCGUUCUGAGUUCUGUCCACUUCCAAUCUUGGCCAUACCGGCUGGUUUAUCUUGCGCGUGUAAUUUUGCUUAAAAUUUCAAAGCUAAUUUUCAGGAAUCAACUGGAGGCAUCAAAAGUGAGUUUCGAGAUCGUUUAGCACAAGAAACAAGGCAGAACAGUGUUAAAUCAAGGGUUUUAUUCAUUUAAUAUAUUUUGAGUUGGGGAGCUUGGAUUCGGGCAAAUUUUGGAGGCAAUUUUCACUAUAUGGAAUGGUUUCGAGCCGUUCAAAGGUCGGUACACGCGGGAUGGUAU